CGAUGCUGAUGUCAGAGUGGCCAUUGUGACCCGUGCGAGCACGGCCCCAAAAGGGAAGGCCGCGCUCAGGCCGUGUGUCAGUGCGACCUGACAACGGCAGGAGAAGAAUCAGCGGAGGAAUAUCCAGAGGAGACUGGGUUGUUCCUGGAAGCAACCGACGGGAGGAGAAGGCGGACAGGAGCAGGGCUCACACAGGGCUGAGCAGGGAGUAGUGCCCUUGUGGCUCUGGGCCUGUUCUGCCCACUCCCACACACUCUUCUUUUGCCCACAGCUAGAGGGAGAACAAACAACUGGAGCAGACCGUGGCAUUGCUGGACAGCAACUCACAGCUGACAGCUGCCAUGUCCUCAGAGCUGACACGUGCCAUGUCUGACAGAAAGCAGGAGGGCCCUGGUGCCAGGGAGCCAGCAUGCAUGCUGUGUCGCCGUGUGGAGGCUGACCCGGACACCUGCGGUGACAAAGUGGAGAAGGGCGGGCUCUGUGCCCACGUCUUUUGCCUG